AAUAAGAUGCCUGAUUAAAGGGUUAUUUUGAUAGAAUAAAUUAUGUAUUACUUACUCUUAUUG
rnacentral:tRNA from 1 species